rnacentral:rRNA from 1 species
CCUGGCGGCAGUAGCGCGGUGGUCCCACCUGACCCCAUGCCGAACUCAGAAGUGAAACGCCGUAGCGCCGAUGUU